GUUGGGGGCUGGGGUGAGGAAGCAUUUGCAGGAAGUGGAGGUUCCUAAAGCUUUAGCUAAAGCCUUGGCGGCCUUGAGAUUUCCCUUGCUAAAUUCACAGAUACACAACAUCUGCAUAUACAACCUGAUGAAUAUAAAGGUAGAAUAAGACUGACACAAGGGUGGAGCUCACUCUCAGGUGUGGUUUAUAAGCAGAAAGGAAGAUGUGCCAGAGGCCCAUUCAUACUUUUCGAUUAAAAAGGAUCUCUAAAGGUUUCAACACGGACUUGCAACAAACCAUAUAAUUUAGGUGCUGUUACUAUAUGCUAUUGGGGACCGGAAACUAAGGCUUAAGUAACAAGUGACAGAGCCUGAGAAGUUUUAACCACGCCACCAGGUUCCAGAUGAUACCAUAAUGCCAACCUGUCUUCCCUGGGAAGACGACUCCAACAUGUGUCCUGGAGCCCCACCUCCCCAGAUCCCUGACCCACUAGGGAGAGAGAGACAGGCUGGGAGUAUAGAUCAACCUGCUAACACUCAUGUUCAGUGGGGAAGCAAUUACAGAAGCCAAACCUUCCACCUUCUGCAUCCCACAAUGAUCCUGGGUCCAUACUCCCAGAGGGUUAAAGAAUAAGGAAACCGUUAAGGGAGGGGAUUGGAUAUGGAGCUCUGGGGUGGGCAUUGUGUGGAAAGGUAGCCCUCUUAUCCUGUAGUCUUGUCAAUAUUUCCAUUUUAUAAAUAAA